CACCCGUUCCCAUGCCGAACACGGAAG
rnacentral:rRNA from 2 species